rnacentral:guide_RNA from 1 species
GAUGACCACCGAGAUUCUAUUCGACAUGAAGAUUG